UUAUUUUAUAUAGGAAACAACAAAAGCUCUUUCUCUCAUAAGAACAAAAACCAGCCACAUGCAUAUUAAAAAAGAAAAUGAAAAGAAGUAUAGUAAAGCCACACAAAGAAGAACAGAGGCGGAGAGAUACCGAGAAUGGCGGACGGAGCUCCUCCGGCACGGUGGCCGGAGGUGAAAAUUUUCAGAACUCGAAAAUUUUACAUCAUCCCGUUCGUUUUUCUCUCCUUAGUUCAAAUAUCAGUGCAGGUAACACGAAAGUAAAGAUGGAUUCGGUAUCAGAAGAAGGUUCUCAACCUUUUGAGGCAAAGAAAUAAAAAAACGGUGGCGGUUGAGAGCUCCGGCACGGCGGUUUUGGAAUUCCGGCGGUGGUUUCCGGUCAAGCUCGGUUCAGGUGAGUUUUUCUGAUUUUUUUUGUUCUGAGUAAGUCUGAAAAGUUCUGAGCCAAAAGUCCUUUCUGUCAGCGUGAGUCAAUGCUUAUAUAGUGCUCAGAUAAAGAGUUUGUGCUGUGAAUCUUGGGCUGAGAAAUAAUUUCAGAUGAAAUGAUAUUUUUUUGCUUGAAAGCCCAAUACGAGAAUCUGAUUCUUUCAAUCCAAUCUUCCUCUUCUUUUUACUACUUGUGAGAUUCUUAUUAUUUUGUGUUGAAUGGGCCUGGAUUUGUACUUCGGUGUAUGAAUGAUUUUUGUUGAAAUUAUUAAUUCUUCAUUUUUCUCAUUUUUUUCAUAUGAUGAUGAGAUAUGAAUUUUCUUGAAGGAGGAGGUGAACCCGAUGCCAAACCAUGAAGCUUAGAAGAAAAUGGUAGACUUGUGAAGGUGUAAACCAAGAGUUUUGCCAUGAAUUUGUUCUUUGAAUCUUAGACCAUAGGAAAUCUCAAAUUAUGCUUCUUGUAGGAUAAGAAACUUUGUAAUUUGGUAUAGGAACCUUGAAUCCCUCUUGUAUUUUUGAAGCUUUAACUUGAAGAAAAUUGGAUUCUUUGAAUGGAAUGAGGAAUCUUGUUUUGAA